rnacentral:rRNA from 1 species
GACGUAGGGGGCGAGCGUUGUCCGGAUUUAUUGGGCGUAAAGCGCGCGCAGGCGGUUCGGAAAGUCGGAUGUGAAAAUCCGGGGCUCGAACCCCGGACGUGCACCCGAUACUCCCGGACUGGAGGCAGGUAGGGGAGAGCGGAAUUCCCGGUGUAGCGGUGAAAUGCGCAGAUAUCGGGAAGAACACCGGUGGCGAAGGCGGCGUCUCUGGCCUGUCCUGGACGCUCAGGCGCGAAAGCUAGGGGAGCGAACAGG